CUUUGAUAGCUUAUUUAGAGUGUAAUAUUGAAGAUGUUACGGAGAUUAUUUUAUCUUAAAGUA
rnacentral:tRNA from 1 species